rnacentral:tRNA from 1 species
GUUCUUUUAGUAUAAAAUAGUACAACUGACUUCCAAUCAGUAGGCUUGAUCUAAGAUCAAGAAAAACA